UUGGGGACUCUAGCGAGACUGCCAGCGAUAAGGCGUGGAGGAAGGUGGGGAAUGACGUCAAAUCACUCAUGCCCCGUUAUGAACCUGGGCUACAAACGUGGAUACAAAUAGGGCUGGAACAAAGGGAGGCGAAGGGGUGACCUGGAGCGAAACCCAAAAAUACAGUCUCAGUUCGGAUUGAAGUCUGCAACUCGACUUCAUGAAGUUGGAAUCGCUAGUAAUCGUAGAUCAGAACGCUACGGUGAAUACGUUCUCGGGGUUU
rnacentral:rRNA from 1 species